rnacentral:rRNA from 1 species
GUCCACGCUGUAAACGAUGCGUGCUAGACGUUGGGAAACCUAGUUUCUCGGUGUCGCAGUUAACACUUUAAGCACGCCGCCUGGGGAGUACGGCCGCAAGGUUAAAACUCAAAGGAAUUGACGGGGGCCCCGCACAAGCGGUGGAGCAUGUGGUUUAAUUCGAUGCAACGCGCAGAACCUUACCAGGCCUUGACAUGGGUCCGACCGGUCGGAGAAAUCUGACCUUCCCGCAAGGGCGGGCCACACAGGUGCUGCAUGGCUGUCGU